UCAUCUCCGGGGGUAGAGCACUGUUUCGGCUAGGGGGCCAUCCCGGCUUACCAACCCGAUGCAAACUGCGAAUACCGGAGAAUGUUAUCACGGGAGACACACGGCGGGUGCUAACGUCCGUCGUGAAGAGGGAAACAACCCAGACCGCCAGCUAAGGUCCCAAAGUCAUGGUUAAGUGGGAAACGAUGUGGGAAGGCCCAGACAGCCAGGAUGUUGGCUUAGAAGCAGCCAUCAUUUAAAGAAAGCGUAAUAGCUCACUGGUCGAGUCGGCCUGCGCGGAAGAUGUAACGGGGCUAAACCAUGCACCGAAGCUGCGGCAGCGACACUGUGUGUUGUUGGGUAGGGGAGCGUUCUGUAAGCCUGUGAAGGUGGCCUGUGAGGGUUGCUGGAGGUAUCAGAAGUGCGAAUGCUGACAUAAGUAACGAUAAAGCGGGUGAAAAGCCCGCUCGCCGGAAGACCAAGGGUUCCUGUCCAACGUUAAUCGGGGCAGGGUGAGUCGACCCCUAAGGCGAGGCCGAAAGGCGUAGUCGAUGGGAAACAGGUUAAUAUUCCUGUACUUGGUGUUACUGCGAAGGGGGGACGGAGAAGGCUAUGUUGGCCGGGCGACGGUUGUCCCGGUUUAAGCGUGUAGGCUGGUUUUCCAGGCAAAUCCGGAAAAUCAAGGCUGAGGCGUGACGACGAGGCACUACGGUGCUGAAGCAACAAAUGCCCUGCUUCCAGGAAAAGCCUCUAAGCAUCAGGUAACAUCAAAUCGUACCCCAAACCGACACAGGUGGUCAGGUAGAGAAUACCAAGGCGCUUGAGAGAACUCGGGUGAAGGAACUAGGCAAAAUGGUGCCGUAACUUCGGGAGAAGGCACGCUGACACGUAGGUGAAGUGAUUUACUCAUGGAGCUGAAGUCAGUCGAAGAUACCAGCUGGCUGCAACUGUUUAUUAAAAACACAGCACUGUGCAAACACGAAAGUGGACGUAUACGGUGUGACGCCUGCCCGGUGCCGGAAGGUUAAUUGAUGGGGUCAGCGCAAGCGAAGCUCCUGAUCGAAGCCCCGGUAAACGGCGGCCGUAACUAUAACGGUCCUAAGGUAGCGAAAUUCCUUGUCGGGUAAGUUCCGACCUGCACGAAUGGCGUAAUGAUGGCCAGGCUGUCUCCACCCGAGACUCAGUGAAAUUGAACUCGCUGUGAAGAUGCAGUGUACCCGCGGCAAGACGGAAAGACCCCGUGAACCUUUACUAUAGCUUGACACUGAACAUUGAGCCUUGAUGUGUAG
rnacentral:rRNA from 1 species